UUCCAGACUCCUACGGGAGGCAGCAGUGAGGAAUAUUGGUCAAUGGGCGCGAGCCUGAACCAGCCAAGUCGCGUGAGGGAUGAAGGAUCUAUGGUUCGUAAACCUCUUUUAUAAGGGAAUAAAGUGCGGGACGCGUCCCGCUUCGCAUGUACCUUAUGAAUAAGGAUCGGCUAACUCCGUGCCAGCAGCCGCGGUAAUACGGAGGAUCCGAGCGUUAUCCGGAUUUAUUGGGUUUAAAGGGUGCGUAGGCGGCCUUUUAAGUCAGCGGUGAAAGUCUGUGGCUCAACCAUAGAAUUGCCGUUGAAACUGGGGGGCUUGAGUAUGUUUGAGGCAGGCGGAAUGCGUGGUGUAGCGGUGAAAUGCAUAGAUAUCGCGCAGAACUCCGAUUGCGAAGGCAGCAUGCCGGCUCCACACUGACGCUGAGGCACGAAAGCGUGGGUAUCGAACAGGAUUAGAUACCCCCGUA
rnacentral:rRNA from 1 species